CGGAUCGUCCCCUCCUGCCAGCUCUCUGUCUCACGGAGCGGGAGGGAGGGAGGGAGCCAACUGGUUUGUGGCCCAGAACUCCUGGUGGGGAAUCAAGUCAUGGAAAAUGACGGCUGGAGAGCCGCUGAGAAAUCCAGCCCAUCGCCACCUCCCUUGUGGGUUUGACAGAGGGAUAAACUGAGGCCAUGGACAGGUAGGACUUGCCCGAGGACCCUCAGAGACGGUGCGGGCGCUGGGAAAGACCCACACUGUUCAGCCCUCUGCCAGCCUUCUCUCCUCUCCUCUCCCACACGGCGGAUCUGAGAUGCACAUCCAGUCAUCCUCUCUCUAAGGUCUGGUUCAGAGCCCCGGCGCAGCCACCUGUUAGCUCAGUAACCCUGGGGGCAUCACCAGUCUGAGCCUCAGUUUCCUUUUGAUGGAGAAAUAAUAACUCCUACCUCAUGAGGUUGGUUGAGGAUUACAAGAGAUAAAGGUUGAAGGAAGGCAAGACACUCAGCAGAGAAAGUCCCCCAUAAAAUGUAAUUCUUUCUGGUUAUUCUUUCUGCGAUUUCUUCCCUAAGUGACUUAACCUCUCUGAGCUCUGGCUUCCCCAGCUGUGAAAUGGGCUAACAGGAAUCCCUGCUUCAUAAGGUUCUGUAAAAUCGUGAGACAGAUAAUGCAUGUAAAGUGCAAAGUGCAGUGCCUGGCAUCUCUUUUUUGGGCGCUGUACAGGGCGCUGGGGACAUGGAGAUAAAUGAAAUAGUGCCUGCCCCUCGGAGCUGAACCUGGCUCUGUGACCAUCCUGUUGAAUCCUCGCUCUCUCCCUGCAGGACUUGCAGCCUCUCUGCGGCUCCCCUGGCAAAAUCACCUUGAUUACUCAGCCUCGGGGGAAGAAUCCAGAGCCCACCAAUAUGAAAAUCACCUGGAUGCCCACUGACAAGUGCAGAUUCUGGGGUCCCACUUCCAUCCUCUACAUCAGAGUCCAAGGAUGUAUGCCAGCUGAAGAUACUGGCUUGGUGCCUUGCACACAGUAGGUCCUCAGACCCCUGCCACUGCCUCCUGCCCAGAGGCAAGGAAACGGUCCAAGUGACCUCUCCAUGGCCCUCGGCUCUGAGAUGGCAGACUUCUCAGCAGCAGCUUUGGGACACAAGCCUCUCCAAUUGCCUGUGGAUUUUGAACUAAGCCCUCCGGCUUCCACCAGGCUGCUGCGGGGAUCCUGGAAAAACCCAGGGAUGAGGGAGGCCUAAUGAAGAUAAGAGGUUCUUGCUUCUCCUCCCAGCUGACUGCUGCCCAGGUGGGGGCCACUUUAAUGCCUAUGCUGAAGUCCCAGGGGUGGAGCCACAGCGGCCUUGCAGGAGAUGAGGAGCUGCUAAUUACCCACAGGAAUCCUGAGUUGUUUACAGCAGUUGUUCAGGGCCCUUGCUGCUCCCUGGAAUCACCUGUGGAGCUUUACGCACUCUUGUUAUGUGGGCCCACCCCCAGAGAUUCUGAAUGUUUGCAAGCCUGGGCAUCAGACUGCUAAUUCUCAUACGUGAUGCCAAUGUGGAGCCAAGGCUGGAAGCAAUGCCUAAAGGACCCCUCACCCGGGACUUGCUGUGUUUCCCAGCCGAGUGUUAAGCAUUGAAUCCCCACUUUCCAGAUGGAAUAAAUAAGACUUAGAAACCUAAGACAUCAUGCCCCAGAGCACACGGCAUGCUCCUUCAAAGCCACAGAAACCAGCCCCGUCUCACUUACAUAGAAGGGGAGUUGAAUCCACGCUUAUAAGUGACACAGAGGGUGAGAGUGGAGGGUUCCCAGCAGACCUCCCAAAAGGCAGAGCCAGGAGUAGAUGGGCAGCCCCCUCAGGCCUCACCACCAGGAGGACUCCCCCACCUUCCUCUCUGUGAGCUGGUCCCAUCAAGAUCCAGAUUGCUGCCAGGCGAUUGGGCUAGCUGAGCUGGGGUCCCCUGCAGGGUUGAGACAAGGGCGAGGCUGACCCCACACUUAGGCCUCCCCAAAGGACGACUGGGAUGCUGUUAGCAAAAGGAGAGGAAUGGACACUGGGCGGAUGAGAAUAUAGGUGCCUACUCUUGGGCUUUAGAGCAGAGCAAUUAAAAGCAUGAUUCUGAACAGACUUGUGAG